GUGCUGGCUUCGGCAGCACACACAGUAAGACUGGGUUGCCACAGAGAAGAUUAGCAUGGCCCCUGCCCUAGGAUGACACGCAAAUUCGCGAAGUGUUCUAUAUUUUU